rnacentral:rRNA from 1 species
AUGCAGUCGAACGGCAGCACGGAGCUUGCUCUGGUGGCGAGUGGCGAACGGGUGAGUAAUAUAUCGGAACGUACCCUAGAGUGGGGGAUAACGUAGCGAAAGUUACGCUAAUACCGCAUACGAUCUAAGGAUGAAAGUGGGGGAUCGCAAGACCUCAUGCUCGUGGAGCGGCCGAUAUCUGAUUAGCUAGUUGGUAGGGUAAAAGCCUACCAAGGCAUCGAUCAGUAGCUGGUCUGAGAGGACGACCAGCCACACUGGAACUGAGACACGGUCCAGACUCCUACGGGAGGCAGCAGUGGGGAAUUUUGGACAAUGGGCGAAAGCCUGAUCCAGCAAUGCCGCGUGAGUGAAGAAGGCCUUCGGGUUGUAAAGCUCUUUUGUCAGGGAAGAAACGGUGAAAGCUAAUAUCUUUUGCUAAUGACGGUACCUGAAGAAUAAGCACCGGCUAACUACGUGCCAGCAGCCGCGGUAAUACGUAGGGUGCAAGCGUUAAUCGGAAUUACUGGGCGUAAAGCGUGCGCAGGCGGUUUUGUAAGUCUGAUGUGAAAUCCCCGGGCUCAACCUGGGAAUUGCAUUGGAGACUGCAAGGCUAGAAUCUGGCAGAGGGGGGUAGAAUUCCACGUGUAGCAGUGAAAUGCGUAG